UACGUAGGGGCAAGCGUUGUCCGGAUUCAUUGGGCGUAAAGAGCGUGUAGGCGGCCAGGUAGGUCGGUUGUGAAAACUGGAGGCUCAACCUUCAGAGGUCGACCGAAACCAUCUGGCUAGAGUCCGGGAGAGGAGAGUGGGAAUUCCUGGUGUAGAGGUGGAAAUUCGUAGAUAUUGGGAAGAACACCAGUGGCGAAGGCGGCUGCACUGGCCCGUAACU
rnacentral:rRNA from 1 species